rnacentral:lncRNA from 1 species
CGGAGGCGGUGGCAAAGACUAGCGCAGGGCCGGGCCAAUGGCGGGGGAGGUAUGCUAAUGAGGAGUUGGUCAGGCAGGAGCUGAAUGUCAACUAGUCAAAGAUGGAGGCUGGAGCGGGGAGGCCAUGAGGCAUGGAAUGAAGCUCCCUCCAGUCACCUGCUGCAAGACACAUUAUCCAGCUUCCUAACCUUAAGGAUGAGACCCUAUCAAUAUUGCCUCUGCUUUUGUGAUCAGGGUAGUAGUGCAAUAUUGCUUAUAGGGUCUUUUCUUUUGAGGGUUAUUCUUCAUGGAGAGAAGAAAGCCACAGCAGGAAAAAAUAACCCCAUAUGCCCACCGAGUUAAGGGAAAAGUUGUGAAAUGCUGAGUGUUGUUAGAUAGGUGAAUAAUUGUACAGAGAUGUUAUUUGUGACAAAUAAUCGUGCUGUUCUGGUGACUCAGGUUGUGAGUAAUGGGCAUAUUUUUGAUGCUAUCUAUCACAUGGGAUUCAAAACGGCUUCAUGUUUAAAACACAAGCGGUGAUUGAAACCAGAGAAACCCAUCAUGGUUCCUUUCUAAAAUAGUAUGAGUUCUAAGACGUUUGAAGGGUGUCUAUAUUACAUACUGAUGUAAACACCCACCAAAGGAUGGGAGGAGAUACAUAGCCAUACUUGCUGCUUCUGUGCUUGAUCCCAGCCCGAAAACCAGUGUGGUGCAAAGCAGAGCACAGCACAAAGAGGCCGAGACUCUAAUCCCCGUAACCUCGGCGAAACAAAGCUCAUGCCUCUGCCCGGCGAGUGCGGCCCGCCGGGCUCCGCGACCGUGCCCCGCACCCGGGGCUAUUCCAGGGUCGGGCGGCGCAGCGGGGCCGGGCACUGCCUCCGGCCCUUCCCGAGAGCUGCUCUCUGAGUCCGGCAGCCGCCGCAGCUGCUGUGCCAGCGCUGGGACCACCGGCCGGGCUGCCCCUCUUUCCCUGUUGCACUACUGUCACGGUCGCAGCGAGCAGUGCAAUAAUGAAAGGGCGUCAGUGCGCCGGGGAGCGGCGAGAGCCGGGGACGAGCCGGUGACAGCGCGCGGGGACGGGGACGUCCCGCCGCACCCGAGAGCCACCUUAACGGGGCGGAGGGGAUACACACGACACUGACGGACGGGCUUUGGUUGUGCAACUUUCUUUGUUUAAACACGCAGCGGCGGAGAGCGUGCGCGCAGGGGCAGGACAAGGUGAGCGGACCGCGCACCGCUUGCCCCGGCCCGCCGCCUCUCCCCGCCCCGCCGGCCCCGGCCGCGCUCCCCGCGGCCGCGGGGCCUGGGGCAGCCCCUCUGCUGUACCCGGCCAACACCAAAUAAAUAAAAAUGACCCCCGAGUCCCCUGUCCCUG